CCACCCCUGUAAUUUAUUUUCGCAACCCCUCUCGGUUGCGAGAAUGUUCAGUGAAAUCAAUCACUGAACAAUUCCAUACUUCCCCACCUCUCUCCAUGAGAGAAACCCCCUGAAACCAGGGGAAAAACUUGCUCCCAACAACCUAAAUUGUUGGACAGCAUUACUCUCCACACCCCUGGUUUCACAGACAAGUUACACAGAGUCAGGAGAAUAGUUCCAAGGGUCAUUAAAAGGCUACCCUCCUCUGUACUAAAGCAAGUAACCUUCCCCUAAAUUUAGAGGUAAAGCACUCACAAGUUAUUCAUUGUAAAGUGUCUCAGGUUCUACUUAUCUAAGGUACAUGUCGUUACAAAGUAAGUCUAUCAAAAUCGUCCUCUUCUCACAAAUCUAACAUCAAACGUAUCGCCAAGUAAGAAUUCAACUACAUGACAGUUUAACUCCCUACCAGAGACUUAUGCUUCUAAUCGAAACUGCCCGAUAAUCUUACCUCUCCUAAGUUUUGUACACCGCUGUCGAGUUAGCUAGAGGAUAACCUUUAUUCUCCUUCUCCAAUGAGAGACAAGUCAAGUCAUGGUGCAGACAAUGGAAAGGUCUCGGUGUAAGUCAGUUAAUUUAGUCUAAAACGAUAUCAUACAUUAGUACCCUUGCAUUAGUUGCAGGAACUAGCGGCCUACAGUUAUAUAAGUGUGCGUAUAUUAUUCGUAGUAACUCUACACCAAUUACACAUACGGUAUCAGGUAUAACGGGUCCUAGUAGCUAUAUUUGCUAGUUUGAGCUAAUGUUUAGUGCUAUAAACC
rnacentral:rRNA from 1 species